rnacentral:piRNA from 1 species
CUAUGAAGAUGACACGGCGUU